GGCAUUCAGUUUUUUCAUUAACAGUUUUCAUUCUUGGUUCCACCAUGUGACAGUAAAGAAUAUUGUAUUUAUUGAGGGCAUUAACCAUAUAAAGUCCCAAUUCUUUUGGAUUGGAGUCUCCACAUUCUGCAUAUUCUGCAAAAGGUGAUAAUCUAAUUCCAACUCUUUCUGCUCCUAUCUCAUUGGAAACAGCUUCAACAACUUCCAAAGGAAAUCGGCAACGGUUCUCAAGGGAUCCACCAUAUUCAUCUGUUCUAUCAUUCACUUUAUCUUUCAUGAAUUGUUCAAGUAUAUAGCCAUGAGCUCCGUGGAUUUCAACCCCAUCAAAUCCUGCAAUUUGCAUCCCAUUGAGUAUUAGAUAUAAUUGUAAAAUGUUCCCUCUAAAGAAACAAAAAGUUCAAUGUCUGAAAAUUUUGUAUUAUGAUACGUUGAAUAAUUUUUUAGUUUUGUAGACAUUUCAAAAGAUCAGUGAAGUUACCAGCUUCAAUGGCAUUUCUUGCUGCAAGUCUGAAGUCAUUAACAAGGUUAGGAAUUUCAUCAGUCCUUAACCGCCUUGGUGGUGUGAAUUUUGCUACAUCAAUACCAUUACUUCGAAUUUGUGGUGUGAGUGGCUUGUCUGUAGAAGAUAUUGGUGCUUGUCCAUUUGGCUGAUACACUGUUGAGAAUGAACAUAAAAAAUGGGCAUACAGUGAGCGUUUACAUCACAAGCAUGGACAUUUAUAAACCAAAAAAUCAGAAUGUAGUUUCCCCCUUAAUUAAUAAUACUCAAUAACAACCUCCCACACCAAUCAUAUCCAUUUUACUGUAAGCAAUGGUAGACUCCUCUAUUAAUUGAUGCCAAAAAUAUACUUAUUUGAGCGUCAGGUUGACAACAAAGGCAACAUGACACAUUAUUAGCCAAUAGAGCUUGAGCUGCUUAUUAUUUACCAAUUGAUUAAUCAAGUUUCCUGACUUAGUGUAAGGUGUGCUACUCCUUCCUACUGUCCUAGUAUAUAUCAUACAUUCAUAUCAUGUUUUCUGCUGCCAAUUUCUUGCAGAAAAUCCUUCUAGUCUACAAUCACAUUUUGACAAAACUGUUUUUGCAGAAAAGAACAGUUAGAAGCGGUUCAAUCAGCAAUUAAGCUCAAAUCAACAAAAUUCCCCAUUUAUGUUAUGUUAGAAUCAUAUUAGGCCUGUGUGUUUUAAAUUACAGUCUGUAACCACAAUUGCAGCCGUAUUUGAGGCCACAACUGUGUCGCAACCACAAUUUCAAAGGCUUUGGUCAUAUUUUCCCACAUUUUGCAGCAACUGCAAUUUAAAGCCAUAGUAUUGAAUUCAAAAAGAAAAUUGGAUCAAUUAAUUGAUAAUUUGAGGAAAUACUACUACAUACCAGAAUCAGAAACUCUUCCAACAUGCCAAAUCUGACAGAAGAAAGUAGCACCUUUAGCAUGAACAGCAUCCACAAUGGGUUUCCACGCCUCAACGUGCUCUUUAGUCCAAAUACCCGGUGUGUCUGGAUACCUUCACAAAAUAACAUACAUAAAAACACAGUAAUUUAAUCAGCACAAUUUAUUUAUCUAUAAUAAGAAACAAAACUGUAAGCACAAUUAUGAUAACUAAAUGAAAUUAGAGUGAUUAGUUGGUAAUAUUGACCCACCCUUGAGCUGUAUCAGAGACACCGGUAGCUUCAGUUAUGAGAAGACCACCGUUAGAACCGGUGGCUCUCUGAGAGUAAUAGAGGAUAGCAUGUGGUUGAGGAACGUUGCCAUAGGAUCUCUGUCUAGUCAAAGGUGCCAAAACAACUCUGAAAUAAUAAAGUACAGUAAUUGAGUAAAUUACACAAACACUUGGUGUGCGAUUUGAAAUUCAACUUAAAUGAUGAAUAAACAGAUAAAAUAGUACCUAUGAGCUAGACUGAAUUUUCCCAUUUGGUAGGGAGUGAUAAGUGGAAUAGGAUCAGAUUCAACAACACCAGCCAUUUUUAGUUGAUUAAGUGAUACUAGUCUAUUACAAUUGAUUAAAUUAUGAAGUUGAAGUGUUUGAACUUUGAAGUGUUUUAUUUAUAGUGAAACUAAAAGAGGAAAGUGAUGGUGGCUUCUUUUUAUUUAUUUGUACGCAAUCAUCACAAGCUGGUAUCGGGGUUGAGUUAAGUCCAACUCCUAAAAUAGUAUCAGAGUUAAGCCUCUUUGAGAUGGUUGAUCAUCUGUUAUCAAGUUUCCGUCAUUAGAACCAUCUACUAUCAUUUAUAUCUAUACACCGGAUAUGUAUUAAUCAGAGAUAGACGAUUAUAAGUCUACAAGUUUUGUAGAGUUGAUUUUGAUUUUAAGAUAUAAGUUGGUUUUGGUGAGUGACGCGGGUGAUUGCGUUGCAUGCUCGUCUGGUCUGGGGAUUAGUUCCAAACCGCAGUCCAAUUUGACUUAAUUGAGAUCACAUAAUAUUUUCUUUAUCAAAUAUUGUUGCGAAUAAUUGCUUGAUAAUUGAAUUAGUACGCAUAUAGUAGUAGGUCACUCCAUGACCGCACAACAAUAGAGUAGAAAGAAAGACAGGCCAUCAACUUGCCUUGCCCUUGCCCCCACCGUUCAGUUAUUUGCUUUAGUCAAAUAAUACAUACAUACAUACAUGCAUGCAUGUGCUUUCCACAUUUAACAAAGUGGGUGUCGGAUGUAAUGAGAUUUUCUGUUGACGCAGAUAUAAAUGUCUGAGAUCACUUUAUUAGAAACCGAGUUAAAAUCUAAACUGUUGAACUUGGUAGAAAAGAUCGCGGUUUGAUCCCUCACAACUGUAAUUGGGAGGGGGCUGAAAGCCUGAAACCAUUUGAUGCAAGAACUGUGACGCCGAACCAGAUUAAACCGUCAACUGGACCAGAUAAAAAAAAUUGUUAAUAUGUAUUACCUUUACAAGUUACAAUGAUGAAUCCAGAUUCAUGAAUAGAAGAAUCUGUAGCACCCUUUAUUUUAAUGAAAAACUUUGGACAGCAAUUUUUUUGACUUGAUUAAAGAAGUGGCAUUGUUACUUGAGUAAUUUAACUAUUUAAUUCGGGGUUCGAUCUUUGAUGGUACAUAUGAAACCAUUUAAAUAAAUCUUAAUUACAUAGAAUGAUUAGUCUCUACAAUCAUAUGAAGAGAUAUUUUAGUUUUUAAUGAACCGUAGAUACUUUAGUUUAUAUAAAAUAUGACUUUACUUCCUCCAAUCUUAAUUAUAAAUAAAAAUUCAUUUUUUAGAUAUAAUAAAUAAUUGAUGUAUCUGACCAUUAUAUAGUUCAAAUAUAUCAGUUAUUCAAUAUAUCUAAAAAAUAAAGUUUUGUCUAUAAUUAAAACCCGAAGGAACAUUUAACCAAAAAAAAAAAAACGAGGGAACAUAUGUAUAAUGUACUUCUCUAAUAAUUGGUCUAGGUUCGUCUGCUUUGGACGUGUUGACUGCCACAAAAUAAUUGUUGGUUGGCAUAGUUACACAUUUUUUUCCAUUUUACUUAGAAUUUGAUUUGUCCCGCGCCCUAACUCAAUCUUACAAAAACUAAUAUGAAACUCUUAACAAUACACAAUCAUUGUAAUAAAAAUUUACACAUGCAUUUAAUCACUGUCACUUUGAGAUCACAAAAAAAUUACACAUGCAUUUUAGGAGCAUCCGAGUAUAUGCAAAUAUUUGUCUUUAUAGUCAUUUUGAGUGAUAUUAGUUCUUAACUUUUUCUUUGGGUACAUAAACUAGUAUAUGAUUAGUAUAACUUUUUGAGGAUCACACUUUCUUUUAUAAAAUUCUAACUCAUAUUCAAAACAUAGUGAAAAAACAGUUCUGGAUACUAAAAUAGUCCUAGCAAAGAAGUAUGAAAAGAAUAAACAUAAAAAUAGAUAAGAAUCACAAUUCUUAUUUUAAUGACCCAAUUUUUCUUACUAGCUACUUUAUCGCAGAAACUAAUACUAUUCGAGACACAAUCAGACACUAAAUAUAAAUAUUGUUCUGAUACCAACUUUAUUACAAAAUGUGUUGGAUGCUAAAACAUCAUUCAAGAAAAGGAUAGUCAGUAUAACCAAGAACUGGAUCAGGACUGUAGAAUGUCUCCCUGUAAUACUUAUUUAGAGGAGCAUUAAGUGCAAAUCUCUUCGGCAAAUCUGGAUUAGAUAUGAAAUAACGACCAUAAGCAAUAAGAUCUGCUCUAUUCUCAGCAAUAGCAUUGUUCCCAUCUUGUCUAUCAUAACCUCCUGUAACUAUGAAAGUUCCAUGGAAGGCCUUUCUCAUUGGCAUUAGGCUGUGAGAGAAUUCAGUUUCCAUUCUUGGUUCUACCAUUUGACAGCAUAGAAUACCAUAUUUAUUGACAGCAUUAACCAUAUAAAGUCCUAAUUCUAGGGGAUUUGAGUCCCCACAUUCUCCAAAUGUUGAUAAAGGUGACAAUUUUAUUCCAACUCUUUCUGCACCUAUCUCAUUUGCAACAGCUUCAACAAUUUCCAAAGUAAAUCGACAACGGUUCUCAAGGGAUCCACCAUAUUCAUCUGUUCUGUCAUUUGCUUUAUCUUUCAUGAAUUGCUCAAGAAGAUAGCCAUGAGCUGCGUUGAUCUGAACGCCGUCAAAACCUACAAUUUGCACCACAACAAGUAUCUAAAAUGUCCUAUUCGACGUUAAGUGUUUGAAUCAACAAAUUUGAUGACAAUUUUUUUUCCGUCUUUAAUUUUCGUCGUCAUUGGCUUAUUUCUACUAUAUCAAUAUUCUACUGUCUCUUAUAUUCAAGCAUUUUGGAGAGAUUUGUAUAUAUCAAUGAAGUAAUUACCAGCUUCGAUGGCAUUUCUUGCAGCAAGUCUAAAGUCAUUGACAAUAUUAGGAAUUUCUUCUGUCCUUAGCCUCCUUGGUGGUGUGAACUGUGAUAUUACAACACCAUCACCUCCAAUUUGUGGUGUGAGUAGCUUGUCUGUAGAAGAUAUUGGUGCUUGCCCAUUUGGUUGAUAAACUGUUUGAUAAAUAGUAAGGAAAAUGGGCAUAUAAAAUAAAAAUAAAAAUCAUGUGUAUAAACAAAUGUAUAUGAUAGUAUGGAAAAUGGGCAUAAGAUACAUCAUACAUUGAGUGUGCAUGCAUGUCAUGUUAUAACAAAUAUAUACAUAUACCAGAAUCAGAAACUCUUCCAACAUGCCAAAUUUGACAGAAGAAUGUGCCGCCUUUGGCAUGAACAGCGUCCACGAUGGGUUUCCACGCUUCAACUUGCUCUUUUGUCCAUAUGCCAGGUGUGUGUGGAUACCUUCAUUACAAUUAGUCGAAGAUAGUUAUAGAAUUGGUUACUAUAUUAAAUUAUUAAUUGCAAGUUAGUUCAGAUCAGUUAGAUUAAUAGGGAUUACUUUGCAGUAAUUCGCUGCGAUUCUGUUAAAUUGACCGCAAAUUUAAAUAUGCACUAACUACUACUAAGUAAUAUUAGUUGGCAUGAUGCAUCGAUCAGUUCGAGUUGAAGCAAAUUAAGCAUGAAGAGUGAGCAAUGAAUGAAAGGAAAAAAGUGUUACCCUUGAGCAGUUUCAGAGACGCCAGUAGCUUCAGAUAUGAGAAGACCUCCAUUAGAGGUCCUUUGAGAGUAAUAGAGAACAGCAUGAGGUUGAGGAACGUUGUUGUAGGAUCGUUGUCUAGUCAACGAUGCCAAAACUACUCUAAAAUUAAAUUAUUACAUACACAAACACAAACAUAGGAUGAGUGAGUAUUUUAAGCAAUUUUAAUUCGGAAGCAAGGAAUGAAAGCAUAGUAAACAUACCUAUGAGCCAGAUUAAAUUUGCCCAUCUUGUAAGGAGUAAGAAGAGAACUGGGAUCACCAGCCAUAAUUAUAAACUAAUACUACUGAUUAGAAAUGUAAUAAUAAUGAGGAAAAUAUACACUUUACUAUGAAGUUGAAGUUGGUAUUUAUUUUAGACUAAAACUGAAAAGUGGUGGGUGGGGGGGACCUUUAUGCUUGUUUGCUAUUGCGUUAGGUGAAUGAUGUUUACAAUACAUUACAUAUUUUAUGCCUUCUGCAUUAAGGUAUGUCCUGCAUCAGGGCAAGUAAUUUGUGCGUACAUAGCUUCACCCAAAUCUAAAUCCCAAAUCCUAAUUUAUGCCUUCUUCAAAGUUUCUUUGGGUGAAAAAUUACACAUGCAUUUUAGGGAGUAUCCGAGUAUAUGCAAAUAUUUGUCUUUAUAGUUAUUUUGAGUGAUAUUAGUUCUUAACUUUUUUCUUUGUGUACAAAAAGAUCCUAUCAGUAUCUUUAUAGUUUUAAAAAAGUUUAACUAGUAAUUUUGAUCUAGUAUAUGAUUAGUAUAACUUUUUGAGGAUCACACUUUCUUUUCUAAAAUUCUAACUCAUAUUCAAAACAUAGUGAAAAAAACAGUUCUGGAUACUAAAAUAGUCCUAGCAAAGAAGUAUGAUAAGAAUUAAUAUAAAAAUAGAUAAGCAUCACAAUUCUUAUUUUAAUGACCAAAUUUUUCUUACAAGUUCCCUUCGCAGGAACUAAUACUAUUCAAGACACAGUCAGACACUAAAUAUGAGUAUUGUUCUGGUACCAACUUUAUCACAAAAUGUGUUGGAUGCUAAAACAUCAUUCAAGAAAAGGAUAGUCAGUAUAACCAAGAACUGGAUCAUGACUAUAGAAUGUCUCCCUGUAAUACUUAUUUAGAGGAGCAUUAAGUGCAAAUCUCUUCGGCAAAUCUGGAUUAGAUAUGAAAUAACGACCAUAAGCAAUAAGGUCUGCUCUAUUCUCAGCAAUAGCAUUGAUCCCAUCUUGUCUACCAUAACCUCCUGUAACCAUGAAAGUGCCAUUGAAAGCCUUUCUCAUUGGUAUUAGGCUGUGAGAGCAUUCAGUUUCCAGUCUUGGUUCUACCAUUUGACAGUAUAGAACACCAUAUUUAUUGACAGCAUUAACCAUAUAAAGUCCUAAUUCUAGGGGAUUUGAGUCCCCACAUUCUCCAAAUGUUGAAAAAGGUGACAAUUUUAUACCAACUCUUUCCGCACCUAUCUCAUUUGCAACAGCUUCAACAAUUUCCAAAGUAAAUCGACAACGGUUCUCAAGGGAUCCACCAUAUUCAUCUGUUCUGUCAUUUGCUUUAUCUUUCAUGAAUUGCUCAAGAAGAUAGCCAUGAGCCCCGUGGAUCUCAACCCCGUCAAAACCUACAAUUUCACCACACCAAGUAUCUAAAAUGUCCUACUAUUAGAAAAAGUUGAAAUAGUGACAAUGACUGAAAAAUGUGAAAUACACCUUUAAUUUCGAUGUUAAGUGUCUGAGACAACAAAUAUGAUGAUAAUUUUUUUUUCCGUCUCCAAUUUUUGUCAUCAUUGACUUACUUCGAUUAUCAUUACUCUAGUGUCUCUUAUAUUGAAGCAUAUGGAUUAAAGAUUGGUAAAUGUUAAUUACCAGCUUCAAUGGCAUUUCUUGCAGCAAGUCUAAAGUGAUUGACAAUAUUAGGAAUUUCUUCAGUCCUUAGCCUCCUUGGUGGUGUGAACUGUGGUAUUUCAACACCAUCACCUCCAAUUUGUGGUGUGAGUAGCGGCUUGUCUGUGGAAGAUAUUGGUGCUUGCCCAUUUGGUUGAUAAACUGUUUGAUAAAUAGUAUGGAAAAUGGGGAUACAGUACAUAUCAUGUUUAGAACAAAUGUAUAUAAUAAAUUUAAGUGACACUAACGAUCAUUUUACAACUGUCCUGACGAAAUUUGAACUCGGCAUUUUGAGAUUGUAAUGUUAAACUACCACUGAGCUAGCUCCUGAAGUGUUAUGUAGAUGAUACAUGUAAUUAAACUAAUGAAAAUAAAAUCAGUAUCAUUCAGUAACAAAAAUCUAAGUCCUGCCAAAUAUAGUAUUGAGAAAAAUCAGAAAAAUUAGUUAAAUAAUUGCUAAUUAAUUUGAUAAAGUUUAGUACAUACCAGAAUCAGAAACCCUUCCAACAUGCCAAAUUUGACAGAAGAAUGUACCGCCUUUGGCAUGAACAGCAUCGACGAUGGGUUUCCACGCUUCGACUUGCUCUUUUGUCCAUAUGCCAGGUGUGUUUGGAAACCUAUAUUACAAUUAGUUGAAGAUAGUUAUAGAGUUAGUUAGCAUUAAUCGCAAGUUAGUUCAAAUUUGUUAGUUUAGUCACGGUUACUAUAUAAAUUGUAUAUAUCAUAUACUCAUAGUUAUAGAGUUAGUUAGUAUUAAUCGCAGUUAGUUCAAAUUUGUGAUUCUGUCAAAUUUACCGUCAAUUCAAAUAUGCGCCAUCAAGUCAUAAUUAGUUGUCAUGGACUCAUGAUGCAAUUGAUCGGUUCGAGUUGAAGCAAAUUAAGCAUGAAGAGCAAUGAAUGAAAUGAAAAAAAGUGUUACCCUUGAGCAGUUUCAGAGACGCCUGUAGCUUCAGAUAUGAGAAGACCUCCAUUAGAGGUCCUUUGAGAAUAAUAGAGGACAGCAUGAGGUUGAGGAACAUUAUUGUAGGAUCUUUGUCUAGUCAACGGUGCCAAAACUACUCUAAAAUUAAAUUAAUAAAUUGUUACAUACAUAGACACAGGGUGAGUGAAAAUUUUAAUCAACUUUAAUUGGUAAGCAAGCAUAGUAAACAGAAUGAAAACAUAGUAAAUAUACCUAUGAGCUAGAUUAAAUUUGCCCAUCUUGUAAGGAGUAAGAAGAGAAAUGGGAUUACCAACCAUAAUUAUAAACUAACUAAUACUACUGAUUAGAAAUAUAAUAAUAUAAUAAUAACUAAUUAGGAAAAUAUAGACUUGAGUAUGAACUAUGAAGUUGAAGUUGGUAUUUUUUUUUUUUUUAGACUAAACCUGAAAAGUGGUGGGUGGGGACCUUUAUGCUUGUUGCUAACGUUUGUUGCAUUAUUGCCUUUGAUCUUGCAGCACAAUUUGACACAUGUGAUGUAAGUAAGAACAAAUAUUAGUGUUUUCUUUUCACUACUACGUCUUUGAAUCAUCCUUGACCAUUCAUUCAUACAAAUAAAUCAUCGUUGUUCAAAUUCAAACGACCCUACUACAAGAUUAGAAUUACCAACACGGCACCAACAACGACUUCGACUAAAAAUGGUAAGGGUUUUGGACCUCUUAAACAAUGGUCAGGUGGGGAUUGUUGAUGUUGAUUUUUGUGUGCAAAAAUCAUUUCUCUAGAAUUAAUUAGAACGGCAUCAACAAGAUUACAUGUGUUAAAUUUUGAGGCGACAAAAAAUAGAGUUUGAAUGUAAGAUUAAAUGGAGUAUUAUUAAUAAGAUCAACAUAUUCAAUAACCAUGUUAAAAAUAAUUUUAACAACAAUAAGUUGAUGAUGAAAAUAUAAUAACAACAUGCAAUAAUUGUAGCAACCUUUCCUUAAAAAAUCUGUACUAACCCAUACUAAAAUAAUCUUCAUAUCAACACAAAACUCAUGUUAUAUAACUUGUUCAAAAAAAAAACUCAUGUUAUAUAAAAAAAAUCAGGGAGUAUAUAAUAGUUUUACACACUGUGUGUCUCCUAGCAGAAAAAUAUCAGAAGAAUCAAUAACAAAAACCAAUGUGCAAGUGGAAUAACACUUAUUCAAUAUGGAGGUUCAAUACAACAAUGUUUUCUUCAAUAUGGAGGUUCAAUGUUAUGUUAUUAUAUACUCCCUUAUUUGAUUUUUCAUGCACCUGACUAUAAAUUUCAAAUAUAUGUUAUUAAUACCGAGAUUGGAAUUGAACUUGAGACAUAAAACAUAUAUUGAAGAAAGAAAAUACUUUUGGCAAGAAAAUUACCAAAGUAAUUCCAAAGCACUUUGUACAAUAGACCCAAUCCAACAAAGCAUACAUUGUCUCCUUACAUCCAGUAGCAUUAUCCUGAAAUUUUAUAGUGCAAGCAAGAAAGUGUUGGAUAAGAAAAUUCAAUUGUGAUGAGAACAAAACUUUAGAACUUUUCUUUUGUUCAAAUCUAAGUGUAAUCUUCAUAAAAUUUCAAUGAGUCAGUUUUCUUAAUUCUCUAACUAAUGCUUCUAUAAAAUUUUCCUAACAAUUUCAAAAUUUGUAAACAGUGUUAUACAAAUAUCAAAUUAACAAACCAACACAUGAACAUAAAUCAUUUUAUUGGUGUAGAAUCUGUAGAUUCUUUCUUAUUAUGCUUCUUCUUGUUCUUGUUCUUAGUCUUCUUAGUCUUCUAUUUCUUCUCAGUAAAGCUAAAGCCUUGAGUUGAGCCUUCUUGAGUCGAACCUUCAUCAAGACCCCUUGCAACCAUGGCCGACUGGCGGGCUAAAAGUGCAUGCUGAUGGUUUAGACAGAGAUUCAUGUAUUAGAUUGUUUAUAUAAUUGAAAUAUGCACAAAGAAAUUAAAUUUGUGAAACUUGUAUCAAAAGCAUUGUAAAAACUUACCUCAUCAACUACGAUUUCAUCGUCAGAAUCGCGAUAAUGAUAAUCAGGCGUACUCUGUCCUUCCUGAUAGAGGACAGUGACAGUGACACAUCGUUCCGCCUCCAUUAUUUUCCAACAGAACACAACUAUAAACAAAAUUUCAAAGAUUGUAAACCCUAAUUCAAUUAUCGUAAACCCUAAUCACACAAAAUUUCAUAACAGAUUGAAAAAAUAAUGAAAAUACCCUAGCAAAGCAGCGAUCAAGAAUAUGGAGAACGAUAAAGUGGUGAAAAAACGAACUCUGAAGAAGGAAGAAAACGCGCGAUGAUGAUUUAUCAGCAACUGAACAAAAAGUAAAGUUAAAUGUGUGUAUAUAUAUAUAUACACUCAAAAUGGGUCGGUUAUACCCGGCNNNNNNNNNNNNNNNNNNNNNNNNNNNNNNNNNNNAAAAAAAAAAAAGAUUUAAUGUGAAAGAAAAAAUAAUUUAAUUAAUAUAAAGGUGAUUGAAACUAUUUGGAUAUUUUUGAAUUGGUCCUUCAAACUAUAUUUUAUUUUUUUUAUGGUUUAAAUGUAAUUUUAGUCCAUUUUUUUGGUUAAAUAAUAUGAUAAAGGAUUAACUUGUAUACAUGAGUUUUCUCCGGCUCGAUUACUCCAUAACCUUCUUACCUCGAAUAACUUGCUUAUAGGGAUGGCAACAGGUAGGGUCGGGUGCGGGUUUCACACUUCCCAAACCCACACCCUAAACCACCACCUGAACUUGAUCUCAAACUCAAAAGUUGUUCGGGUGGCAAAAUAAAACACACAUCCACACUCGUUAAGUUCGGAUUUUUCCACCCAAACCCGAACCUGCAGCAAGAACACGCAGAAUUCACAGAUUAUUUCAUAAUUAGUUUGAGGUAGCAAUGACAUCUUCAUAUUUUGAAUGACUAGUAGUGCAGGCAAAAACAGAACAACAGCUACAACAAAAAUAGAAAAGAGAAAUCCAAGUAUGAUUCAAAUAAGGGAAAACAUUGGCUUAGUUUCACAAACUAAACCAAACAUUUCUCUUACGUUCUCUCUUCAAUUGUCGUAGACUCGUAGUUCUUGUGCUUAAUUACGAAUAAACAAACUUGCUCCAAGCAAUUUAAAACAUUAUAUAUGAAGAAAAUGGAACUAACCUAAUUGUCACUCCAGCCUUAACAAUAACUCAAAUGCUAUAGUCACUCAAAUAAUCUAUAAAAGAAUCCUAUAUACAUAUAAUUAGGCUUUGGUUAGUUAGUGAGGUAUUUAAGGAACAAUCUAUGUCUAAGUAACGUAUGGUUAGUUUCUGAUCUUAAAGUUCACAUUUAAUUUUCAUCUUAAGCUCCUUGAAAUCAUAGCUUUAAACCUGCACUCUCUAGAUUAUUUUAGAUUGAACGAAGCCACUAGAUUAGGUCUAGUGGUAAGGAAUUUGGGUAGCUAGUAUGCUAGAGGUCGUAAGUUCGAUACAUCAAUACCGUGAAAAAAAAGAAAAGAAGACAAUUUAUUUUUAUUCCAGUGACCAACUUCACUACAAAAUCAAUAUGCAAGUGGAAAAAAGCUUAUUUAGUAUGGAGGUUCCACAGUUCUAUUCUACAACAUUGUUUUCUUCAUUCAAGAAUGGAUAGUCAGUAUCCGACAACCGGACAGAAGUAUAGAAUGUUUCCCUGUUAUACUUGUUGAGAGGAGCAUUAAGUGCAAAUCUCUUUGGCAAAUCUGGAUUAGCUAAGAACAAACGACCGUAGACAACGAGGUCUACUUUGUUUUCAGCUAUAGCAUCGAUCCCAUCUUGUCUAUCAUAAGUUCAUAACCUCCGGCAACCAUGAAAGUUCCAUUAAAAGCCUUUCUCAUUGGCACCAAGCUGUAAGGGCUUUCAAUCGUUUCAUUACCUGAUUUUAUUCUUGGUUCAACCAUAUGACAAUAAAGAAUAUUGUAUUUAUUGAGAGCAUUAACCAUAUAAAGUCCCAAUGGCAUUUGGAUCGGAGUCUGCACUUUCAAUCAAAUUUUCUCCAUACACAAGAUUUUAUUUUUUUGGUCAAGUAGUCCAAUGGCUAUAAUUAUACCUUAAGGCGAAUAAGUAGAGCAUCAGGGGUUCAAAUUUCGACUUCUGCAUAUAAAAUGUGAUGUCUUGCCAACUAAAUUAAGUUUACAAGAAUGUUUGCAUAUGCAAGAUUUAAUUGCCGUCAUUGUGUGAUGACUUAAUUAUAAAAAUAAUAUAAUGUCUCAUGGAAAGCCAUCUAAAAUAUAUGUGUAGCAAGAUUAGGUCGUGUUACGAAUCAUGGAAUCGAAGGGAUGAAGAUCAUAGUGCACAGGAGUAUUCAUGUGGAAGACACUCAUAAGAAUUCAUAUUAAAUGAAUAUAGAUUGAUAAAAGAAUGAUGAAAAUAGUACAAUGGUGGCUCUUAUAUAGAGCAAUAUUGAAGAUUAACCAACUAACCAUCUAAUAACCAACUCUAACAAACUAAUGGAAAUUCUAACUAACUAUAUUCUUAACAGGUGGCAUUUUGUUUGCUAACCAUUAAGAAGUCCCACAUCAAUGGCCAUUGGAUUCUCCUCUGAAGCAUAGGUAGUUGCUGGGGCUGCGCGAUCAGCAGUGGACCUUGAUUCUGUGCCAACAAAUGGACUCCUUGUCUGAGCCGCAACACUAGAGUCUACCUCCAUAGCAGAAGCUCUGGGAAGUGAUGCUGGCUGCACCUCCACAUCUGGAUAAGCUGCCUUAAACCUCGCCCGCAGCCCUUCAUCAACUAACCUUACACCAUUCAAUUGAUUACCAAGAGACAUCCACCCUGCAUGAGUAUUGUGAUUGCGAGCAAACAACUCCAGCUUUCUUGUUCUUGGACUUAUUCUCUCCAACAAAGGAUACAUCUCGUCUGGCUUUCGGCUAGUUUCCCGGACUUCAGAAACAAUAACAUCAGUAUCAAUGUUUCGGUUUACUUCAGGGCUGCCCUUUAUUCCAACAAGACAAUGUUCCUUGGUGUGAUUGAGCCAAUGGCCCGUACGUCCAGUUCUAAUUAUUCGCUGAAGUUGAUUUGUUUUCACCCAAAUGAUCUCCUCAACACAUUUAUAUCCCCAAAGUUCUAAGCAUUCUCGUCCAAGUUCCAUCGCACGCCCAGUGACCCAUAGAAAAAUUAGCCCAUUAGUUUGCAGAGCAGGGACAUUAAGAGCGCGCAUUUCAUCAUCAGCCAUUGUACCAUAAGGCAGCUCCAUGUGAAUGUCCCACGGUGGAUCAGCCAUUAUUACUCCAAACUCACCUAAUAUGUCCAUUCUAAAGUUACGUAUAUCACAGUUGAUCCAUUGUGGUUCCCCAAGUUCCAGUUCAGAACAAUACUCGGCACGCUGCUGCCUCAGUGGUUUGGAAGGAAGAGGAACACCAAUCAUUGUUGGAGGCACAUCAGGUGUAGGGUCAUACUCAUAGUGAACAUACUUACACGUCUUCCUGUGCCGACAACUACCAAGAAACAAACAGUCUCCCAAAUUAAUGUCAGUAUGAAGAGCAAUGAUUCGUCUAAAAUGAACCUUAUCACAAGCUACAAAGGAACCAGUCUGGCGUCGACAAUCUUCUUUUGUCAAUAAGUUACAAUUUUGCCUCACCUUAGAACCACCUAUAGUUUUGAACUUAGCAGCUUCAGCAAUCUCCCUUGCAGUUGGUCGAUGAAUUAAAUCGAAAAGCUCCUCGCCAUUUUUACAUGUUUGCAUCUCCCUAAACGAUUUCUUAUUCAAUAUAGCCUCAACCUCCUUCAAAUCCUCAUCAUAGGUAUUUGCAUUAACACUACUACUACUACUACUCCCUGAUGCAUUUGGCCCCAAUGGGAGUCUAUGCAUACUACUAAUACCUCUUGGUCCGCCACCAGAAAGCAUUGGCGGUAUCCCUGACAUGUGAGGGUCACCUUGAGACAUCCACAUAUCAGAAAUUGGCCUCCUUCCAAUCAUAACAUCAUUCACAUUCGCGGCGCUACUACCGGUAUUGAUUUGAUUGGUGUUCACAUCACCGAAACUAGAUUCAUUUUGCUGCUGCUGUGCAGUUUCAGCAACCAUGGUUAAAGGAGUAAUUUUGUCUGAUUCUGGAUUUGUAGUUGUUUUAGGGUUUUGAGGUAGUUGUUGUUGUUGGAGUGAUGAUUUGGGAGGAGGAGGGGGUGUAGGAGCAAAAGGACGAUGGUUAAAAGAAGAAAGAACUUUGAGAGAAAGGUCAAGAGAAGAAACGAUAUUAGGUAUAAUGGUUUGUACAGAAGAAAGCAUGUUCAUAUGUGAGUUAUGUUGGGUUUCUAUGCGUGCUUCAAGUUUUUGUCUUUUAUCUUUAAUACUGUUAAUAGCUUCAUCUGAUGAUUGUGGCGUCUCCAUUUCUGACUGCUAGUGGUGGUGGUGGCCUCCGGUUGGGUUUUCCGGCGACUCUUCUUCACUUUUUUCUUGUUUCUGAUACCUCUAAACUUAUAUUAAUACUUAUUAACGGCGCGGACUAGGGGAUAUUGGAUUGAUUUUCAAAGAUAAUUUUGGAUAAAAAAAUCUUCAAGAUUUUAAAAGAUUCAAAGAUAAUUUUGCAAAAAAAGAUAUUAAAGAUUUUAAAAGAUUUUGUGAGAUUAUAUUUAUUUUUUAAAAACAAAAACUUUCAUGGUAAUGGUAAUGAUAAAACUAAUAAGGUCUCGAUUUUGUUUGUUGGUCCUGUUAUUUCAAUUAUUUUUUUUUUUUACUUUUGAUUCCCAUCUUAUUUUAGGUUCAAAUAUAUAUCAUUAUUCACAUUUUAUUAAGGCAAAAUUACACCAGAGAUCUUUUAUUUUAUUUAUUUGUAACAUUAUGUUAAAAAUAAAUUAGAUAAAAGAUUAACUCGUACACAUUUAUAAAAAUAAAAGAUAUGUGCACUGAGAAAUAUAAGAUAAAGAUUAAUCACACGGAGUCUUUAUAUGAUUUAUUAUAAACUAGCGGAUCAGGCAGGUGCGUUCUACGUCUGCCUGUGUCUAACUUAUGUCCAAAAAAAAAUAUUUCUUAUAUUAUGGUCAGUUUGUUAAUAAAAGAUUCUUGUUGUUAAAAAAUAAUAUGUGUCUUAUGUUAUGGUGAGUUUGUUAAUAAUUUUUUUUGUUGCUAAUAAAAAAAGCAAGGGUAUUUUUGGUAUUAUGAAAAGUCCACACCAAAAUUCAUGUAUCCUCUUUACAUAUUAUUAUAUAUAUAUAGUAUAGAUAGAUAUAGAUAUAGAUAAACUAGUUUAGAAUUUCGGCGUUUCCGUGGUUAGACAUUCAAUAAAAUUGUAGUAAUGACAUGAGACAUCCACUUAUAUUUUAACAAUAAUUUAUAAAAAAAAAUUAAAAGAUUUUAUUUUAAAUAAAUUUUUAGAAUAACAAACUUAAAUAUCGAUUAAAAAUCGACUCAAUCCCUCCCACCCUCAUAUAUAUGAGACACAGAAGAUUUGGAAUAACUAGUAAGAGAUUCGUGCUGUUAUGGACCAUAUAUAGUUAAGAAAACUCCUAAAAUUUUACCUUCAAUAACAUGUUUAUUUGAAGUCAUGCUGUGAUCUUUGAAGUUUAGAAUUGAAGUUGAAGUUUUGUUGAAAGAGUUGUGAUUUGUAUUGUGAAUAUCGAUAGAUUUAUAAACUUGAAAAUGUAACAUGGUGACAAAUUCUGAAAAAAUGUAAGAUUCACUAAUAUAAAAGACAUAAUAUUCAUUGCUGGUACAUUUAUGACAAUGAGAAGACAACUACAAAAUAAAAUAUAGUCACAUGAUAAAAGUAUUUAAAAAGACAAAAAAAGGGUGAUUAAAUAGAUAUAGAUAUAAUUGUCAAAAAAAAAAAAUAGAUAUAGAUAUUAAAAUUGAACUAUGGUAAGAUAAAAGAAAGUUGAAAUAGCAUACAUCAUUGUUGUUUACCAUAAAUAUAUACCAAAACAUAGUAGUUCAAAUCCUAAAACGUUGGUCGAGUGAUUUACAUCAAUAAGAACUUGAAAAAUGUUACCUUGGUUGAGUCAGUUCUUUCAUUGUUGAAGUUGUUUCUUUUUCAUUCGAGUUGUAUGCAUAUUUGAGUAAAAAUAAACAUGAAUAAAUAACAAUGGAAACAAACUAGCCAUGAAAACAUAAACAGAAGAAACAACCCAAAACCCAAAGGAAGAGAGACUUUUGCAAAGGAAAGUGAAGAUGAGUGAAAGAGAGACAUGUGUUGGGAUAUGCAGAUUGAGUAAAAAAGAGUAGAAAGUACUAUGUGACCAAGUCACAUGUGCCAAAAAUCAAGUCUUCCAUUUCCGUUAGAAUGGAACCAUCCUUUUCAUCUCAUUAGCUUAUAUGGCUUUGGUUAAGAAAUUUACUUAUAUUAGAUUGAUGAUAGAUGCUUUGAAGGUGCUUAAAUUCCUUGUGCUACUGUUUGCGUGAAUAAGGCAAUGAAGGCUACAGAUUGUUUCUAUUGUUCAGAUACAAUUCUGUAUAAAUUCCAAGACCAACCCAUGGCUGCUAGGCUGCUACUUAUAUUUUUAUAGACAUUGCCUUCCCUGGGAUGGUAUAAGGUGACAACGGAUGUGGCGGGUAAUCCUGAUGAAGGAAACUGGGGACUCUCGGUGGUUAUAACUUGUAAGAGAUGCACAGGGAGUGGUGGUGGCAGCUGUAUGUUGGCAAAGGCAAUAAUUUCCACAGUCUGACAUUGCUGAAGCAAUGACCUUUCGUGAAGGAAAUGUUGUUUCUGAAUUUGAUUUGAUCGUCGAAUCUGACUUGUUAAAUGUGAUUACGGCCCUUACAGAUGAUCAAACGCACUCCACAUAUACAGGAGCUAUUGUGGAUGAGUGUAAAAAUCUGUCACACCAGUUUCAUAACUUGCAACUCUUGCACAUUAGGCGCGUAGCUAAACAAGCUGCUCAUUGUUUAGGUAAGUAAGCUUUGUAUUUCCGCUGUCUUGACUUUUGAUUUAUUGUUAGAUUUUAUUUAAUGGAUUUCAAUAUGCAGGUACAUAAUAGUUUUACAAACUGUCUCCCAGCAGAGAAGUAUGAGAAAGCUGAUAAAAAGAGAAGUAUGAGACAAAUCAAUACGGUAAAAACAAGAAGACAAAUCAUUUUUAUUCCAGUGACCAACUUCACUACAAAAUCAAUGUGCAAGUGGAAAAAAGCUUAUCUAAUAUGGAGGUUCCACACAUCUAUGCUACAACAUUGUUUUCUUCAUUCAAGAAUGGAUAAUCGGUAUAACCAAGAACCGGAUCAGAAAUGUAGAAUGACUCCCUUUUAUACUUGUUGAGAGGAGCGUUAAGUGCAAACCUCUUUGGCAAAUCUGGAUUAGCUAAGAACAGACGACCGUAAACAACGAGGUCUGCUUUGUUUUCAGCUAUAGCAUUGAUUCCAUCUUGUCUAUCAUAACCUCCUGCAACCAAGAAAGUACCAUUGAAAGCCUUUCUCAAUGGCACAAGGCUGUGAGGACUUUCGACUGUUACAUUUGAAGAUUUUAUUCUUGGUUCCACCACAUGACAGUAAAGAAUAUUGUAUUUAUUCAGGGCAUUGACCAUAUAAAGUCCUAAUUCUGUGGGAUUGGAGUCUCCAGAUUCUGAAUGUUCUGCAAAAGGUGAUAAUCUAAUUCCAACUUUGUCUGCUCCUAUCUCAUUCACAACAGCUUCAACAACUUCCAAAGCAAACCGACAACGGUUCUCCAGAGAUCCACCAUAUUCAUCUGUUCUAUCAUUCACUUGAUCUUUCAUGAAUUGUUCAAGUAGGUAGCCAUGAGCUCCAUGGAUUUCAACCCCAUCAAAACCUGCAAUUUGCAUAACAUCGAGCAUAUUAGGUGNNNNNNNNNNNNNNNNNNNNNNNNNNNNNNNNNNNNNNNNNNNNNNNNNNNNNNNNNNNNNNNNNNNNNNNNNNNNNNNNNNNNNNNNNNNNNNNNNNNNNNNNNNNNNNNNNNNNNNNNNNNNNNNNNNNNNNNNNNNNNNNNNNNNNNNNNNNNNNNNNNNNNNNNNNCUGUUCUAUCAUUCACUUGAUCUUUCAUGAAUUGUUCAAGUAGGUAGCCAUGAGCUCCAUGGAUUUCCACCCCAUCAAAACCUGCAAUUUGCAUAACAUCGAGCAUAUUAGGUGAUGUUCAAAAUGUCCUAGUGCCCUUUAAAUUUGUACUAUGAUUGAAGCAUUUUUCAGUUUUGCAUAAAUUUGUAAUUGUAAAGAUCCG
rnacentral:lncRNA from 1 species